rnacentral:lncRNA from 1 species
CCCCAUCGCGAUCCCUCUGCUCUCUCUCUCCCCCCUCUUUCGCACGGACCUCGAGGAGGAAUUUUCGAGAUUCGGGAACGUCUAAUCGCUUCCAGGUGGUUAAAGAAGAGAAGAAAAAGUGAAAGUCAUACUUUUGGGAGGCGGUGGGGCGAAAAAAGCAACCGGCCGUUUGGGCUGGCGGUCAUGUCGCCUUUGCAUGGAAGUGGUUGUGGGAAGGUUGGCCAUUGUUCUCUCCAUGGGAAAGUGCCAAAAGAAAGAGAAUUAAGAAUCAAGAAUGGGAAAAAAGAUAAGGCUGGGUAACGUCUCCAGUUUGGACCGAGGGCUUGUAAGUAGUGGUUGGG